rnacentral:rRNA from 1 species
UACGGGGGGGGUAAGCGUUGUUCGGAAUUACUGGGCGUAAAGGGCUCGUAGGCGGCCAACUAAGUCAGACGUGAAAUCCCUCAGCUUAACUGGGGAACUGCGUCUGAUACUGGAUGGCUUGGAUCCGGAAGAGGGAUGCGGAAUUCCAGGUGUAGCGGUGAAAUGCGUAGAUAUCUGGAGGAACACCGAUGGCGAAGGCAGCCUCCUGGGCCAACACUGACGCUCAUGCACGAAAGCGUGGGGAGCAAACAGG